rnacentral:rRNA from 1 species
UGAGGAAUAUUGGUCAAUGGGUGCAAGCCUGAACCAGCCAUCCCGCGUGAAGGACGACUGCCCUAUGGGUUGUAAACUUCUUUUGUAUAGGGAUAAACCUACCCUCGUGAGGGUAGCUGAAGGUACUAUACGAAUAAGCACCGGCUAACUCCGUGCCAGCAGCCGCGGUAAUACGGAGGGUGCAAGCGUUAUCCGGAUUUAUUGGGUUUAAAGGGUCCGUAGGCGGACUUAUAAGUCAGUGGUGAAAGCUCGCAGCUCAACUGUGAAAAUGCCAUUGAUACUGGCGGUCUUGAGUACAAGUGAGGUUGGCGGAAUGUGUGGUGUAGCGGUGAAAUGCUUAGAUAUGAUACAGAACACCAAUUGCGAAGGCAGGUCACUAAGCCAUAACUGACGCUGAGGC